AACGAACGCUGGCGGCAUGCCUAACACAUGCAAGUCGAACGAGAUCUUCGGGUCUAGUGGCGCACGGGUGCGUAACGCGUGGGAAUCUGCCCUUUGGUUCGGAAUAACAGUUGGAAACGACUGCUAAUACCGGAUGAUGACGAAAGUCCAAAGAUUUAUCGCCAGAGGAUGAGCCCGCGUAGGAUUAGCUAGUUGGUGUGGUAAAGGCGCACCAAGGCGACGAUCCUUAGCUGGUCUGAGAGGAUGAUCAGCCACACUGGGACUGAGACACGGCCCAGACUCCUACGGGAGGCAGCAGUGGGGAAUAUUGGACAAUGGGCGAAAGCCUGACGCAGCGACGCCUCGUGAGGGAUGAAGGUCUUAGGAUCGUAAACCUCUUUUGAUUGGGAAGGCUCGAGUAUAUCGAGCAUACUGUACCAAUAGAAUAAGCACCUGCUAACCACGUGCCAGCCGCCGCCGUAC
rnacentral:rRNA from 1 species